GAGAUCAAGUGAGUAUCGUGGCGGCCCUCAGGCUGCAGCUCGCCCGCGGCGCGAGGCCAGCAGUGCCCGCCGCGGCCCCGCGCCCGCACUCCUCACCUCGCCCGCUAGCCGGUGCCCGCAGAGUCCCGCUGCGGGCCGCUCCGAGGGCCAGUCCGGGGCUUUGCUUCAGCUAAUUGAUUGUGUGCCUCGGAUGUUAAACCUGUUGAUCUCAUGAGACUGCAAAGAAGCAUAAAAUGAAUAGACAAUCCAACCAACCAAAGACCGGGGGCAGCAGCAGGCCAGCAAGACGGCAUCUUCUCCUUCCCAGCCUAGAAGCCCUGUGAAAUCGAGGAUCUUCCCCCUAAAACACAUACACACAAGAUAUGUGCAAUCAAGCUGCCACCGCUUGGUAAAAAGCCAUGGUGCCUAACCAAAAAGGAUCAGGAACAGAUCCUUGAAUCAGCUGUCACUUCUAUAGAAUGGGAUUUUUUUUUCCUUCCUCCUUAACCUGCGCUGGAAAUUGCCGUUGGCUUUAUACAUCUCUAUAGAGAGAGGCUAAAGAGUCUUGCGUGAGAAAGAAGCAAUUUACAAUGCAAAUAGAGGCCUGUGAAGGGACGGAUGCUGCUGCUCACUCGUAACAGCUUGCUGCACCUUAAUAGCUGGUUUUAUUUUCUGAUAUUAAUAGAUGAAUUGUUGGCUAACGCUGCCGGAGAUUACUUGCUGAAAGGAAAAAGAAAAGUUCGGAAUAAACUCUGAAGGCAACAGAUCUCGUUUGGAUGUUUUAGCCGCGCACACACACAAACAGAAACCAGGUCAUAUUUACAUAAAAGGAGGAAUCUUAAGCGCGGCAAGUAUCCUGGACGACCACUCUUCGGUACUGCCAGAAAGGAUCAGGACCUGGAGUCUGGCAAGAGGAAGACAGAGGCCUGUGUGGGAAGCGAGUUGUUAUCUUUGGUUAUCUAGCUGUAUGAGUGUAUUGGUCUUCAUAAAGCUAGAUAACCGAAAGUAAAAACUCCUUCAAGAUCGCCGGGGAGCGUGUGAGAAUGAAAGACUACAGCCGAGAGACAGUAAAAACCAGAAAGGUCAGGAAUACUUAUUGAAUCUAACUUUGUUUUUGUUUUGUUUUUUUCCUUAUGAUUAAAGGUGGGAUGAGAGAAAAUUAAAUGACACACACAUGCUAAAAUAUCAAGGUUCCAGAUAUGUCUUGAGAGGGGUUGUUGCAGCUGCAAAGGAGAAGUGUAUAGUGAUAAUGAGUAAAGAUGCAUGUGCAGUUUGUUCUAUUUUAAGGCAAAAGUUAUAUCAGGGAUUUUUUUCUUAGAAAGGUGUUGCAGAGAUGUCUGGUACCUAGUUUAAAAAUGAUUCCAUAAUAUGUAGACUUGGGCAGUUCCUUUGGGAGGCACCUCCCUCUCAAAAUUUGAAGAUUGUGCUUGGAAAUUACUUUACAUGUAUUUGGGCUGUAUGUCAAUUUGUACGAAAUUAGACUUUCAGAAAAGUUUAUACUGGAAGGUUAAUAAUUUGUAUCUACUGAGGACUUAGAGCUAGCAGGCAAAAUGAAAAAAAAAAAAAAAAAAGCAAGGGCUGAUUUUUAUUCUUCUAUUCAAAAUACAAGGACAGAUGCUUCUCUGUUCCAAGAGGGUUUCCUUGAGGAAGCUACUGAAGCAGAAAGACAUGAUGGAGACGAGAUCGCCUCCCCUCUUGUCAAAGUGUUAAAAAAAUGUUCUGUCUUACUCUGCGCCUAGCAUUGGAAAUGAAAGUGACAUUUACGCCACAACCCACGUGUGCGCCUCCUCUCUUUUUGUUUAAGGAUGAUCAGGUCUAUCCAGGAAACAGCUCUGGCAUCCCAAACUGAAAUAAUUAGGACGUAUAUAGACCUGACAAAAAUGGAAAGGGGGUGGGGAAUCUGAGGGUCUGUCUUGCCUAAUUGAUUCCGCUAAACGGAAUGCAGGAGAUGUGAACGGCAGGACGCUCCGAUUCCCACGCUCGGGGGCAAGUGAUAAAGCGGGGCCGGGCAGCCUAUGACAGACAGCCCUGUUGGGGGGUGGGGGUAUGAAAAAAACAUCAAGUGCACACACCAUACUCAUCUCCAUCGCUUAAGAAAGUAAAGGCAUUUCCCACCCACAGCCAUCUGCAGCUUCCCAAAUGGCAGCACCAACUGGUCUGUAGCUGCUACAUAGUCUGCUUCUGUUAAUUUUUUAACCACUGUUUAAUCUGGCCAUAAUUAAGUUUGGCUUUCUUCGUUGUUUGAGAUUUUCAGAAUUCAAGGCAAGCUAGUAGAAAGCAAUUCCAAGAAAGUCCCAUGACUGCCUGCCCCUAAUGUCAAAAUCUCAGUCCAUGAGAUUAUGGCCUUGUGACCACAUUUUUGCUUUUGUUUUGGGUGGGCAAAUGUGUAUAGAGAUAAAAUACAUAUCUCUAUAUAACAGUCGUUAUUAUAAUUUCAUGAGGCUUUUUACCUCUUAACAUGAUACAUCUAGGAACUUGGUCUAAUUGUGC
rnacentral:lncRNA from 1 species